AUUGAACGCUGGCGGCAGGCCUAACACAUGCGAGUCGAACGGUAACAGGAAGCAGCUUGCUGCUUCGCUGACGAGUGGCGGACGGGUGAGCAAUGUCUGGGAAGCUGCCUGAUGGAGGGGGAUAACUACUGGAAACGGUAGCUAAUACCGCAUAAUGUCGCAAGACCAAAGAGGGGGACCUUCGGGCCUCUUGCCAUCGGAUGUGCCCAGAUGGGAUUAGCUUGUUGGUGGGGUAACGGCUCACCAAGGCGACGAUCCCUAGCUGGUCUGAGAGGAUGACCAGCCACACUGGAACUGAGACACGGUCCAGACUCCUACGGGAGGCAGCAGUGGGGAAUAUUGCACAAUGGGCGCAAGCCUGAUGCAGCCAUGCCGCGUGUAUGAAGAAGGCCUUCGGGUUGUAAAGUACUUUCAGCGGGGAGGAAGGGAGUAAAGUUAAUACCUUUGCUCAUUGACGUUACCCGCAGAAGAAGCACCGGCUAACUCCGUG
rnacentral:rRNA from 1 species